AUGUCGACCGCCGGCGACGUGGAGGUGGAAGUGCACGAGGAAGACCGGGAAGGCGGCGGCAGUAACCCGGGGAGGUGCGCGGCGUGCAAGUACCUGCGCCGGCGGUGCGCCCACGACUGCGUGCUCGCCCCCUACUUCCCGGCGUGGCAGCCCCACCGCUACGCCUCCGUCCACCGGGUCUUCGGCGCCAGCAACGUCGCCAGGUUGCUUCAGAGCUUGCCGGUCGGUGAGAGAGCUCAGGCGGCGGAGGCGAUGGCGAUGGAGGCGCAGUGGCGGGUGGAGGACCCGGUGUACGGAUGCGCCGGGAUCAUCAGCCGGCUGCAGGAGGAGAUUCCGGCCACGCAGUGCGAGCUCGCCAGGACGCGGGCGCAGCUCGCCAUCGUCCCCGCGCACGGUGCGCAGCUGCAGGGUUCCACGGCUGCUCUUCCGCCACAGCGAGACGACGGCCACCGCGUCCCCGUCACGCAGAUGCAAGGCCAAGGGCAGGGAGAGGCAGACGACGGCCACCGCGUCGCCGUCACGCAGAUGCAGGGGAAGGAAGAGGGGGUGCCGUUGCUUGACCCGGACGACGGCCAGCGCGUCCCCGUCGCGCAGAUGCAGGGGCAGGGGGGAGAGGCGGUGACGCUGCUUGACCCGGACGCGUUCCGGAACUCGACGGGCUCUGAGCUCUGA
rnacentral:rRNA from 1 species